CCUAGCUGCCCCACAAAGCCCACGAAGAAAUUUACACAUCGAAGAAAAGGGCGAGCGACUACUCUCGAGAAACCUAGGUACGCCGCCGCCGCCGCUAUCGUCCACGCUAUCCCUCCCGUCACGCGCCCUCACGCCACCUCGCCGGCGGCCUCCGCCCCUCCUAUCCUCUCCCCCAAAGUUGCCGACCUCGUCUCCCACCCUCUCCUCCUCACCUCAUCAGAAGAUAAGAGAAGAGAAGAGGGAGAUCGACCAGGUCAGGCGCAGGCCAUGGCGGCGGCCAGAUCCGCCACGGCCGCAACGACCUCGCCAAGGAUCAGGAUAUUUGCCGCCACAGAGAUCACGACCAGCGACCAAUCUGUCCUGCGUCACCUUCACCGACGUCGCGGCUCAUAGGCGACGCGACAAUGAACCAGGCCGCCACGAACCCCGUCGACACUGUCUUCUGUGAGAACUGCCAACUGACUGUCACCUGCUAAUUUUCCUUUUUUUGUUUAGGGGCAGUCUUUUUUUGCAUGGUAAGGGCAGGCCUUCUGUUAGUUAAUCAAGUUUCUCAGGUUCAUGUGUUUGUGUAACGGCGUUUUGUGCUUGUGUUGCAUAUAUAUUUAUCAAAGUAGUAUCGACAAUAUAGACAUGCCCAGAGCCUUACAUCCCUGCCAUCCCUUACAUUCUUCAGUUGUCAAAUGCCCAACCAGCUAUUCAGAUUCCUGCAUCUUUUUUUCCAGUUUUUUUUCAUAUUGAUCUAUGUAUUAUGGUGAAUCCUUCAAUCCAAGAUUCCAUAAGACGAUAUAGAAGUUUGGGAUUAAUUGAAGUACAAAUAUGUAUGAGCUGUUGGAUGGAGGGUUGGCCAGAAUUCCUCUAGCAGUCAGCACAGGAGAGCCAGGACGGUGGCGGUGGAGCCUCCGGCGUCAGGGCACCGCUGCCGUCGUUCCCGCUCCAUAGAUCACCAACUGGAUUCAUUGACCGCUGCCUGGAUGAAAGCAAGGGAACCCAACCCAUCCAGAUUCGUCUGAUGUGUUCAAGAAAUCAUCAGUGUUGUCAUACAUGACAGGCUGAUUAACAGGGUCAGUGGAUACACACCCAUCUUGUUAAAAGUAAAAUAAUAUUCUGUUGGUACAUGUUUGUGUAUAUGAUUAGAGAUAAAAAAUCUGAGUUGUGAUGCCUGUGCAUUAGUAUGGCUCAGGAGUUUUAGCUGGUGGUUUUCAAGAUCAAUAAGAUGGAGUGUUUGUUCGCUGAUCCACUUGACUUUGAUUCAAAGUGCACGAACCUGAAUGCAGGCAUCAUUUUGACUGGAAAGCCUUUCUUUUUUCAUUCUUUGAGAUCAGUAAACAUCAUCAUGUAAUUCAAUGCCUGGAUAGUUUUGGGCAGCUUUAUAAUUUAGUAAACAAUAUUAGCACCUCACUUAAUUGAAAUUUUGUGUGUGUUUCUUGUGCUCACCUUGCAAGCCCUUAAAAACAAGAUGACAAAGAAUUUGGUAUACAUUUCGUAAUUAAAUGUCUGUCUUAUAUUGCAAUUUAUAUUAUCAUCAAUGAUUGUUUGAUGAAUAAAAUUUCUGUCUUAUAUUAUCAAUGAUUGUUUGAUGAAUUUAUAUUACCUUUUCUACUCCCUCCGUUUCAGUUUACAAGUCCUGCGCGUAUACCUAGGUUGCCAAUUUUAUCACCCUAAUAUAAACUAUAUAACACAAAAAUUAUACCGUUUGAAAAUAGAACAUCUGAAGUUUAUAUUGGUAUAUUUUUUGUAGUAUAUGACUUGUAUUAGGUUGGUCAAAUUGACGACCUAGAGGUACGUGCACGUCCUGUAAACUGAGAGGGAGGGAGUAACAUAGUAAAGCUAUGUUUAGAAGUAUCCACUAAUUAAUUUGUGAGGAGAUAAAAAAUAUGCUUACUCAAUGUCAUAAAUAUCGAAUGAACCUGUAGAAUAAUCAGUUGGGUACCUUAUGUUAGUUUGAGGGGUUCAUAAUUUGUACAGUGUUAAUUUUCAGUUGAACUAUGUAUUGUUCUUCCAUGUAUUUGUAUGCAGUGUUGUCCCACCCUAUGUUAAUUGAUAAUAUUUGACAAUAAUUGUUAUGUAUUUUUCAUUGUGUAUAUGUACAGUUUGGAUAUUGUACCAUUUAAUUUUUAUAUAUAAUUUCAAUAGAGUUUUCUUACAAA